rnacentral:rRNA from 1 species
CUUCGGGUGAGUGGCGGACGGGUGAGUAACGCGUGGGAACGUGCCCUUUGGUUCGGAACAACACAGGGAAACUUGUGCUAAUACCGAAUGUGCCCUUCGGGGGAAAGAUUUAUCGCCAUUGGAGCGGCCCGCGUUGGAUUAGCUAGUUGGUAGGGUAAAAGCCUACCAAGGCUACGAUCCAUAGCUGGUCUGAGAGGAUGAUCAGCCACACUGGGACUGAGACACGGCCCAGACUCCUACGGGAGGCAGCAGUAGGGAAUCUUGCGCAAUGGGCGAAAGCCUGACGCAGCCAUGCCGCGUGAAUGAUGAAGGUCUUAGGA